CCUACGGGAGGCAGCAGUGGGGAAUAUUGGACAAUGGGCGAAAGCCUGAUCCAGCAAUGCCGCGUGAGUGAUGAAGGCCUUAGGGUUGUAAAGCUCUUUUACCAGGGAUGAUAAUGACAGUACCUGGAGAAUAAGCUCCGGCUAACUCCGUGCCAGCAGCCGCGGUAAUACGGAGGGAGCUAGCGUUAUUCGGAAUUACUGGGCGUAAAGCGUACGUAGGCGGUUAUUCAAGUCAGAGGUGAAAGCCCGGGGCUCAACCCCGGAACUGCCUUUGAAACUAGAUAACUAGAGUCUUGGAGAGGUUAGUGGAAUUCCGAGUGUAGAGGUGAAAUUCGUAGAUAUUCGGAAGAACACCAGUGGCGAAGGCGACUAACUGGACAAGUACUGACGCUGAGGUACGAAAGCGUGGGGAGCAAACAGGAUUAGAUACCCUGGUAGUCCACGCCGUAAACGAUGAUAACUAGCUGUCCGGGCACUUGGUGCCUGGGUGGCGCAGCUAACGCAUUAAGUUAUCCGCCUGGGGAGUACGGUCGCAAGAUUAAAACUCAAAUGAAUUGAACGG
rnacentral:rRNA from 1 species